UCAAGCCUGUCUGAAACAAUGAUCUGUAAACGGUUGCGGACGUUUGAAAUGCUAUAAAUGUAACUCCCAGGACUCGCCGAAUACUUGCGGAAAAGAUAACUUUAAUGCUGGUGUCCACUCUAGUGACACAACAAGUGGUUCCACAAGUGAUCUUUCAGGAGGAACCAGCUGUAUUCAGGGAUGGGCUAUAAAUGAUAAAGGAACUUAUUAUUAUCGUGACAAAUCUAAUGAAUUCGAGCAUGAUGGCUGUGAGACACCACAAAAAUGUUACUGUAACGAAGAUCUGUGCAACACGAAUGGUUCACGUGUGAUAUCCAUGACAACAGUAGCGACAACGCUCAUCUCUUCCUUUGGGAUUUUGCUAGCGAAGAGGAUUCUGAUAUGAAAUAUGACUAAGAAAGAACAAUAUAUCUAUGAAAUAUAAAAAACAUAAAAUAUCAGCGAAUAUUUUUUUUUACUUUUUUAUGUCAAGAUGUACAUGUUUUGGCCCUAAAACACUCACGCGCACUUAUUAACUCAUUAGACGUCUACGCACUUCUACGUUAUUUCGCGGGACAUGUCACCUCCGUAUUUUAACCCUGAUAAAACACGGUCCUGCGUUGACGCCGCGCCGACCUACUACAUUUUGCGUCAUACAUGCGCCAAAAAUAAUAUAUUUAUAUGUAAAAAACAUAUUAGAAUCGAACUAAAAUAUAGCAGGGCCAUGAUUUAUCAGAUCUAAACACUCCAAAUCGGUUAUACGCCGCAAGUAAGCUGUCCGCACCCUAGCUAUGUUUCGAUAUAUCAAAACACGGUUCCGCUGUAUAUUAUUUCUUAAAUGAAGUAUAAAACUGAUUUUUGUUGUAGAGUUUUAUUGAUGCAUUAUUGUUGCUGCAUUAUCCCAUUUUUAUGAUAAAUUUUACGCUAUUUCUAUACCAAUAAAAUACUGUACUAAAGUAA
rnacentral:misc_RNA from 1 species